CUUAUCAGUCAUUCCCAGGAGGGCCUGAGGUCUAGAGAAGACCCUUGGGUGGCAGAUACCCAGUGUCUCAGAAGGAUACACAGUGACUCUGCAGCACAACCAGGGACUAAAUCUGGCUUUCGCAUAUCCCAUUCCUGCAGAGGGACUUUGGAGAGCAGAGAAAGAAGGAACCUUCUGACACCUCACGGUCACGGUUCCUUCCUGAGGGGAUUCAGUCUGGACGAGCUGGUGCAGAGGAACUACAGAGACAGACACAAGUCCUGUGGCACCUGCGGGCAAGACAGGAACCCAGAGGGGCAGGCACCCCCCUCCUGCAUAACCCCACACCACCACCGGAAGGGGGGGCCAGUUCUCCCCCUUCCUUCCAAUUAUCCUAUACUUUGAAAUUCCCAACA